GCCUUGCGGGGCCCUGAGCCUGACCCCCGGGCCACAGCAGCUGCCCACGGCAGCGCUGUGGGUUCUCCCAGAACAUCCCCCCAGCGCUGUCCCGCCGGACCGUAAGCCUCACUACACAGAUGGAAAGCAAUGGAAAAAUUACGAAGUUACUAGGGCUUUCCAGAGAGUUUGACGCCUGCAGAGAUCUUCCUGCAGGGCUUUUCCGCAGAGCUGUCAGUUUCCUGCAGUCUAAGCUUUGCCCUGUGCGCUCGAGGAUACCCUCUCAUCACGGACAGCAUGAGUCAUGUUUCUGCACCAGAACUCCAACUCAACAGCCAUAGGACGUUUUAGGGAUUUCCUCAGGAUCAUAAAGUCUAAGUUGCCAGACAGGUUUACUUAAAG